CUGUCCUUGUUUUGGGGGACAAUUGGAUUGAUGUUUUAUCACCCUUUUGCCCCCCCCUCCUAGUUUAAAUACAUCCUAGCAAAACCUCUGAACUGCUCACUGAGAACAUUUGUUCCCUUUGAGAAAGAUGCAAACCAUCUUUUUUGUACAGCUUAUCUCCAUUCCAAACAGAGCUACCAUGAGAAAUAAAGCCAAAUCCUUGCUCCUGACACCAUUCACCAAGCCACAAAUUAAAGUCCCUAAUACGCAUCCGCCUGUCGUUCUGAUUGUUAUUCACAGGCAGAACUUCAGAGAAUGACAGUGUGGAAGCAACCUGCCGUAUAUCAUUGGCAAAAACACUAAAAACUUCCUUAACCUCUGAAACCUCAUUGCAAGCCAAGUCAUUUGUCCCUAGAUGGACAAGUACAUCCAAUUCCCCUUCCUGCUUUGCUUGCUUAACAAUAUUACAGAUACGUCUCCUGUCUCUGUGAGCAGUAGCUCCGGGAAGACACCUCACAAGACCACCAUUGUCCAUCUCCACACCUCUUAUAAUGGAAUCCCCCAACAACAACUGCUUUCUAUUAGGCCUCACCAUAGUCUCCAAGCCGGUCUCCACAACACCACUAGUCUCAGUGCCUCUCUCCACAACACCACUAGUCUCAGUGCCUCUCUCCACAACACCACUAG